rnacentral:rRNA from 1 species
CUCAGAUUUGAGAGCUGGCACCUACAUGUAUCCGCGUUGUAACCUCGAGACACGUUUUCCGCGCGGCGCUAUGGACAAGUUCCUUGGAACAGGACAUCGUAGAGGGUGAAAAUCCCGUACUUGCCAUGGAUGUACCGUGCUUUGCGAUACGUGCUCUAAGAGUCGAGUUGUUUGGGAUUGCAGCUCAAAAUGGGUGGUAGACUCCAUCUAAAGCUAAAUAUCGGGGAGAGACCGAUAGCGAACAAGUACCGUGAGGGAAAGAUGAAAAGCACUUUGGAAAGAGAGUUAAAAGUACGUGAAAUUGUCGAAAGGGAAGCGCUUGAAGUCAGCCAUGCCGCUCAGGACUCAGCCUGGCUUUUGCUUGGUGUAUUUCCUGGGUAGCAAGUCAGCAUUGGUUUGGAUCGUCGGAAAAGCAUAGUCGGAAUGUGGCGCCCUCGGGCGUGUUAUAGCCUUCUAUUGGAUACGACGAUCUAGACCAAGGAACGCAGCGCGCCUUAUGGCGGGUCUUCGGACACCUUCGCGCUUAGGAUGCUGGCGUAAUGGCUUUAAGUGGCCCGUCUUGAAACACGGACCACUUAAAGCGAUUACGCCAGCGUCCUAAGCGCGAAG